AACGAACGCUGGCGGCGUGGAUUAGGCAUGCAAGUCGAACGCGAAAUGCGGAGGGGUAACUCUCUGCAAAGUAGAGUGGCGAACGGGUGAGUAACGCGUGAGAAACCUGCCUUCAUCAGGGGGAUAACACUCCUAACGGAGUGCUAAUACCGCAUGAGACCACGGGAUCGCAUGGUCCUGAGGUCAAAGGUGGCCUCUAUUUAUAAGCUACCGGAUGAAGAUGGUCCGCGUCCCAUUAGCUAGUUGGCGGGGUAAUGGCCCACCAAGGCGACGAUGGGUAGCUGGUCUGAGAGGACGAUCAGCCACGCUGGGACUGAGACACGGCCCAGACUCCUACGGGAGCAGCAGUU
rnacentral:rRNA from 1 species